rnacentral:misc_RNA from 1 species
AACGAGGCCGACCUGCGGCUGAGUUACCUGCGGAGGGAUCAUUACCGAGUUUACAACUCCCAAACCCCUGUGAACAUACCUAUACGUUGCCUCGGCGGAUCAGCCCGCGCCCCGUAAAAAGGGACGGCCCGCCCGAGGACCCCUAAACUCUGUUUUUAGUGGAACUUCUGAGUAAAACAAACAAAUAAAUCAAAACUUUUAACAAUGGAUCU